rnacentral:rRNA from 1 species
CCCUGGCUCAGGACGAACGCGGGCGGCGUGCCUAAUACAUGCAAGUCGAGCGAAUCAACAGGAGCUUGCUCCUGUUGGUUAGCGGCGGACGGGUGAGUAACACGUGGGCAACCUGCCUGUAAGACUGGGAUAACACCGGGAAACCGGUGCUAAUACCGGAUAAUCCUUUUCCUCUCAUGAGGAAAAGCUGAAAGUCGGUUUCGGCUGACACUUACAGAUGGGCCCGCGGCGCAUUAGCUAGUUGGUGAGGUAACGGCUCACCAAGGCGACGAUGCGUAGCCGACCUGAGAGGGUGAUCGGCCACACUGGGACUGAGACACGGCCCAGACUCCUACGGGAGGCAGCAGUAGGGAAUCUUCCACAAUGGACGAAAGUCUGAUGGAGCAACGCCGCGUGAGCGAUGAAGGCCUUCGGGUCGUAAAGCUCUGUUGUUAGGGAAGAACAAGUACCGGAGUAACUGCCGGUACCUUGACGGUACCUAACCAGAAAGCCACGGCUAA